rnacentral:rRNA from 1 species
AUUGAACGCUGGCGGCAGGCCUAACACAUGCAAGUCGAACGGUAACAGGAAGCAGCUUGCUGCUUCGCUGACGAGUGGCGGACGGGUGAGUAAUGUCUGGGAAACUGCCUGAUGGAGGGGGAUAACUACUGGAAACGGUAGCUAAUACCGCAUAACGUCGCAAGACCAAAGAGGGGGACCUUAGGGCCUCUUGCCAUCGGGUGUGCCCAGAUGGGAUUAGCUAGUAGGUGGGGUAACGGCUCACCUAGGCGACGAUCCCUAGCUGGUCUGAGAGGAUGACCAGCCACACUGGAACUGAGACACGGUCCAGACUCCUACGGGAGGCAGCAGUGGGGAAUAUUGCACAAUGGGCGCAAGCCUGAUGCAGCCAUGCCGCGUGUAUGAAGAAGGCCUUCGGGUUGUAAAGUACUUUCAGCGGGGAGGAAGGGAGUAAAGUUAAUACCUUUGCUCAUUGACGUUACCCGCAGAAGAAGCACCGGCUAACUCCGUG